CUCAGGGCGCGGCUCCGGCCCCGCGCAGCGCUCACCCACAGCCGGCGUCCCGGGCACGGCUCGUCCCCGGCCGCAGCCAGGACGUGCAGCCGCCAAGAACUAAAAGAAAAGCUGAGGUAAAAUGAAAGAAGAGAAGAGACAGAGCACCCUUAAAGAUGCUGAUAGAGUCUUGGAUGGUAUCAGAAACUGAAGGAUAAUGUGACUGGAAAACACCUUUACUGAUGGACUGUGAUGAAUUUCUAGCUCCCCAAGAAAAUGUCAGUCUUCUAUUCAGCUCCGGGUUCUCUGCUUCACCUGCAGUGAAUGCAUGUUUGAGAAAGGAAAAGAAACAUGAAAGGGGAAGUGAGGAAGGAGUCCUGACAUGAUAAAGCUUGACAUGGCACAAAGUAACUUGUGGCAAAACCAAGGCUAUGCACUAGAGUAUGAGCAUUCCUAAAGGGAAGGAUAAAAAUAAAUAGUAAAAUAAUCUCUUUCCAUGCUGAAGCUGACAUCCCUCAAGAAUUUGUGUGGAUAAGAAGAGUUCUCCAGUCUGGAAAUAUGAAGCUUUUGUUAGGUUGCUUCCUGAUGCUUCAAGUUUUAGAGUCUCCCACUGUGCUGCAAGCAAGCAUUACAAUUUCUUCUACAGCCACUUUUAAAUUCUGGGCAGCAGAUCUGCCAUCUGCAGUCCAUCUGCUGGGUCUAAUACCUAAGAAACAGACUUCAACCAUGAAGAGCUAACCCUCACAAAUUGUCAGUAAUGAAGAGUCCAUCAUAAUCACUUAACACGUCAAACACCUGUGUGAGCAAGACAAUGAGGGAAUGACUUUUGCAGGAGGAUGGAUAUAGGAUUAGAUGGAGCGUUACUUGGGGUCUGGAUGGGAAUGUUUGUUUAUAAUGAAAAGGGCAGUCAUUGUGGCACAUUUCCUUGCAGCAAAUAAUCAACCCUGCAAGUCAUAGAGAAACACAUCCUAUUUAGCAGCAGUUUUCCUAAAAAACUGAGGGUGAUACUUAAAACAUGGAGGUUUUUUUAUGGGCUUAUCCAUGACCAUGCCAUAAAUAUAUGCAGAAUCACACAGGUCCUACUUAGAUGAAUGUCCCCAGUUAUUUAUAACUUGAACUGGAGGGAUGGUGCAGCACAGCUGCUGUUGCACCAUCUAUCCCUGAUGACCAUCACACACUUAAAACAUUGUGGGAUUUUUUUAAAGUAACCUGCUGUGUCUACUCUGCAUAUUUUCCUUUGCUUUCACUGCUUGAGAGGGCACAUGGUCACAACACUUCAUUGCUCUGCCAGGGAGGGCUCCAUUAUUUUCAGGAUGCUGCAAAGAGAGGGAAUGAGCUGAGAUCAUGGGAUACAAUGUCUUUACUAUAAAUCCCAAAGACCAGUGUUAAGAGCUGCUGUACCUCCUGUUUCUGCCGCAGAAUUGGAAUCCUGUGUUAAUAAAACUAGAAGCAUGUUUAUUUAAGACCA
rnacentral:lncRNA from 1 species